rnacentral:lncRNA from 1 species
GGUCUCGUUUUUCUUGUGUCUCUAGAAAACCAGAACCUCGCCGGAGAAUCUCAGCCGUCCGAUCCGAGAGACCAGAGAUUGGAAAAUCUGAACCGUCAACAAUGGUACCGGCGCCGACCUCGAGCUCCGAACCCCGACGCGGAUGAUGGAACUGAACGAUUCGAGUAGCGACGAAGUCCGGGACGCCGGAGCUGAGCCGACGAGGGGGGCCGGACUCGGGAUCGAUCUCAAUGAGAGGAUCCCUUCCCCUCCAGAAACCCUACCGGAUUCAUUAGACGUGGUCCGGUAUUAUCAAGAUAAUCCAUCUCCGCCGCCGGGAGGCCCGGCCGGAGUUCCCGGAGGCGGUCGCGGCUCUGCCUGCGCCUCCUGCGGGAAGCCCGAGGUCCGCGGACACGUGGUGGUCUGCGACGGCUGCGAGCGAGGGUUCCACCUCACCUGCGCCG